CCCUUAGAUGUCCUGGGCCGCACGCGCGCUACACUGACGGAGUCAGCGAGCUUACCCCUUUGCCGAAAGGCAUGGGAAAUCUUUUGAAUCUCCGUCGUGCUGGGGAUAGAUCAUUGCAAUUAUUGAUCUUGAACGAGGAAUUCCUAGUAAGCGCAAGUCAUAAGCUCGCGUUGAUUACGUCCCUGCCCUUUGUACACACCGCCCGUCGCUACUACCGAUUGAACGGUUUAGUGAGGGCCUCGGAUUGGUCUCGGCCCGCUCUUUACCGGGCGGCGCCGUUGGUCGAGAAGACGCUCGAACUUGAUCGUUUAGAGGAAGUAAAAGUCGUAACA
rnacentral:rRNA from 1 species